CUUGCCUCCAACGUCCACAGCUAUCAGAGCUAGUGCGUUUUCUCGUGUGGGCGCUCUCAAUAGCCUUUCAUAUCUUUCAUCAACGCAGAGUCUGCUUAGUUGAUCAGUUACUUAAAGUGGAAGAUCAGACCAUCGAGUUGAGAACCGUUUUUAUACAGGCGUUUAGUAUUAUAAAUUUCCCUGUUUCUCCUGAGGGUACUUCCUCAAUGCAUCACUUGCCCAAGAAUCCAUCUCUCAGUCACUGCUUCUAGGGGCCUGACUGACAAUGCAGGCCCACCCUCUCUUCAGGCUACUGGCUUCCAGCCCAGGAGAAAGAGAGUCUCUUUCCUGAUAGCUUCAGAGGAAGUCCAAGGUCAGCAGCCCAUUGGCUCAUUGAGUCUUGAUGAACCCAUGUGGGCCUUGUACCCAUCCCAGAAGCUGGAGGGGGUUGGGAGAGAGUGUGCAGAAAUUGGAAGGAUGGUUCCCCAAAGGAAAGUUGCUAUGCCAUUACUAGAAGGUUAAAGCAAAAUCCACAGAUGACCCUGUAGUGCCUAUAAAAGUUGGAAUGAGGAGAGGUUAUAUUUUGACUCCCUGCAAUAUAAAGUGAAUUUCUCUCAAUAUCUCUAAUUCAGGGAUUCUCACUCCUGGUUGUACUUUGGGCUUAAAAAUCCUGAUGCUUGGGACACAUCCUCAGUUCAGUUCAGUCGCUCAGUUGUGUCCGACUCUUUGCGACCCCGUGGACUACAGCAUGCCAGGCCUCCCUGUCCAUCAUCAAC